rnacentral:rRNA from 1 species
AAUGAACGCUGGCGGCAGGCCUAACACAUGCAAGUCGAACGAGUGGCGGACGGGUGAGUAAUGUCUGGGCAACUGCCUGAUGGAGGGGGCUAACUGCUGGAAACGGUAGCUAAUACCGCAUACCAUCAGAUGUGCCCAGAUGGGAUUAGCUAGUUGGUGGGGUAACGGCUCACCACGGCGACGAUCCCUAGCUGGUCUGCGAGGAUGACCAGCCACACUGGAACUGAGACACGGUCCAGACUCCUACGGGAGGCAGCAGUGGGGAAUAUUGCACAAUGGUCGCAAGCCUGAUGCAGCAAUGCCGCGUGUAUGAAGAAGGCUUUCGGGUUGUAAAGCACUUUCAGCGGGGAGGCGUUACCCGAAGAGGAAGCACCGGCUAACUCCGUGCCAGCAGCCGCGGUAAUAC